UGUGCGUGUGUGUGUGUGUGUGGAAGAGAGUGAGAGAGAGGGGGCAGUGUGGGAGCAGGAGAUGGUUUGUUGUUAACCUUGAGCCGUCGACUGAUUACAAAAUUGCAGCGAUAACUGCCACUGACCCCAGCGUGAAUAAAGCGAAUAACUGAGAACAGCGCGAAAGAAACAGGCGGAGAGCAUGGGCUGGUGGGCGGGAGGGACUGUGGGAACGGGCUGGGCAGGCACACUGCCACUGAUAAGUCAUCGGCGUGAAACGUCAUCGUUCCGUUUCCUCCCCCGCUCCCCUCAUCCACUCCAAUUUAUAUGGAAUUGGCAACCAUAUAAAACUGAAAAGCUUACUAAAAUACAAUCAUCCUUAGCUUUGACUUUUCAGUUAAAUGUGGUUUAAAAAUUUGAAAAACUUUUUCAAUUCGGUGUAAAUAAAUUGGAAGUUUGUAAAAUAUAUAAAAUUAGUUUUGUUUCGAUCUGAAGUUUAGAAAGUUUUCAUAAAUAAAUUACAGCAGUUAUAUUGAAACAAUGAAGAUGAUUAUCCCAAGGACUGAUAACAUAUGAUCUGAAUCGGCAAACAGAAGAAACUCCCAAAAAGAAAACCAGUAAAUGCUGAGCUCUUCGAGUUCGAUAAUUAAUCGUUGAUUCAUUUAAUUACUAUACUUAUUACAUAAUGCACUAAUAUACCAUUCAAAAUGUUUGUAAACAUAUAUAGUUUGAUCGCAAAUAAAUCUGUAACACCUGACUGGAA